GGUUGAUCCUGCCAGUUGUGAUAUGCUUGUCUCAAAGAUUAAGCCAUGCAUGUCUAAGACUAGGGUUUUCUCUACUCUGAAUCUGCGAACGGCUCAUUAAAUCAGUAAUUAUCUAUUUGACUAGUGACUUUUUUUACUUGGAUACCCUCAGUAAAGCCGAGAUCAAUACAUGCACGACAUUAUUUGGUGGUUUGAGUGAAUUCUCAUUUUCUCAGCCGCCAACGUAUUUAUUGGAUUUCUUAGACCAGCGUCUUGGGUUGAGUUUACACUCCACUCAAGUCCCUGUUGGUGA
rnacentral:rRNA from 1 species